rnacentral:rRNA from 1 species
CAUUGCGGCUCGGGAUCUCGGUCCCGGGCCACACCUGGCUGAGGGUCGCGUGAAACAAGUACCGGGAUUGAUACCCCCCGGGGUUGUGCAACGUUCCCCUCGAGUGCCCAGUGCCCCAAAGAGGGUCUCUCGGCCCCUGUGUCUUGGCAGGGGACAGUGACACUCUCUGUGCGGCUCCGGGUGUGGCGGCGAACGCGCAUCGAAUGUUGAGACUGGGGGUCCGCAACAGGCGUACCAGCUCGCCUCUGUGACAGUCUGCGAGUCGGGAGCCCGGUGGCACCAAACACCGGGGAGCCCGGCCCCUGUUAAGGCGAGCCGUGUGCACGCGGACCGUGACCGAGACGGGGCGCCCUUGAAAUCAGAAGGGCGCUCCGGUCCCGACCUCUGGACUCUGAGAAAGUCUUCUCUGGCGACCUCAGCUCAGGUGAGACUACCCGCUAAAUUUAAGCAUAUUAAUAAGCGGAGGAAAAGAAACUAACAAGGAUUCCCUGAGUAGCGGCGAGCGAAAAGGGAAAAGCCCAGCACCGAAUCUCGUACCGUG